rnacentral:misc_RNA from 1 species
AACGGUCUAUACCUGCGGUACCUGCGGAAGGAUCAUUAGUGAACGCCCUCGCGGGCUUAUAACUAUUCCAAACCUCUGUGAACCGUGCCCUUCGGGGCUAUUUUACAAACAUGGUGUAAUGAACGUCAUAUAUCAUAACAAAACAAAACUUUUAACAAUGGAUCUCU